GGAGAGCGGACCGGGAAGGGAGCGCGCACUGAACCAGAGCGGAGCCCUGAUGGGAAGACAGGCCGGCGCCCUCGCCAUGCACCUGCAGGUGGCUGUGCCUGCACACGCAUAGGGCACAAAAGAGCCAUGGAAGGUGUUUAAGCAAGAGGAUGAGACUAUCAGAAGGGUGAGACCACCUUAGAUGGGUGGUUUCUUGGCAACAACAGCAGCCUGGACACCAGGAGGCCUGGGCCUAAUCCCAGCACGGCCACCUAUGACAUCAGACAAGGCUUCCCUGGUGGCACAGUGGUUAAGAAUCCGCCUGCCAAUGCAGGGGACAAGGGUUCGAGCCCUGGUCCGGGAAGAUCCCACAUGCCGCAGAGCAACUAAGCCCAUGGCCACAACUACUGAGCCCGUGUGCCACAACUACUGAGCCCGUGUGCCACAACUACUGAAGCCUGCGCACCUAGAGCCCGUGCUCCGCAACAAGAGAAGCCACGACAAUGAGAAGCCUGCGCACCACAAUGAAGACCCAACACGGCCAAAAAUAAAAACAAACAAAUAAAUAAAUUUAUAAAACAAAACAAAAAUCUCUGAAAUCGUUUUGUUAUAAUCAAAUCAACGGUAUCUUAAAGUUGACGAAAUACAGCAGAACUGAGAGAGCAGCUGUGUGCACAGGAUCGCCUGGGUGGGGGUAGGACUUUCACUUCUUACUUAAAGGCUUCUCCAUGCUUUUUUUUUUUUUUAAAUACAACAAGCAUCUAUAGAUGUACCUUGAGGACAUGAUGCUAAGGGAAAUAAGCCAGUCACAAAAAGACAAAUAUUGUAUGAUUCUACUUAUACAAAGUAUCUAAAGCAGUCAAAUUCAUAGAAACAGAAAGUAGAAUGAUAGUUACCAGGUGCUGAGGGGAAAGAGAGAAUUUCAGAUAGGCAAGAUGAAAAAUUUCUGGGGAUCUGUUUCACAACAGUGUAAAAAAACUUAAUACUACUAAACUGUACAUUUAAAAAUGGGUAAGUAGUAAAUCUUAUGUGCUUUUUCUCCACAAAAAAAAAAAAAACCUUAAAAAUCUUACAAACUGAACAAAAAAUAUUUUAAGUACCUGCUUUAAUUAUUUCAUUUGCUCAUGACCUAUGGAUUUUCCACCAAGGCUGGGAUAUUAAAGUUUCAGGAUUUUUUUCCUGGCUACAAUCUAAAGAAAGAAAAAAAGGGAGAAGGGAAGGGAGGGAGGGAGGAAGGCAGGAGAGAAGUAGGGAAGGAGAAAAGGAAGGAAGGGAGAGAGAGAAAGAAAAAAAAGUACACGGAAGAGAAAUCUCGAAGAUUAAACCCUAGACUGUCAACAGGGAGUAGGACUGGGUGAUACCCUCGCUUUCCAUCUUACAGUGUUUGUAUAGUUCAAGUUAUUUUAAAACAUAAAAAAAUACCUAAAACAUAACCAUACAAAAUGAAACCAAUUCUUAAAAAACAUUUUAAAAUAUUCUAGCUAAUAAAGAAUUCCAAUGAGCCAGCAUCGGGGGAUAUAUCUGGGGUGGCCACUCUCUGAGGUGCACAGCUGGAUCCAUGCAUCCAGCACAUGGGGCUCAGGUGUGGGGCUGCCCUGGGCGGGCCUGGCUGGACCGCAGAGCAUCCGCAGGAAACAGCUGGAGUGGCUGCUUCGGGCAGCACAUGUGGGGUUUGCAGCUGGUGGGAGAUGCCCCCUCCCCCAAGGAGGAGUGGGGGGUAGGGGCCUCACAGGGGUAACUCGGUAAAAGAGUUCACGGGAGGGCCCUGAACCCCAAACUAGGAGGCGGAUUUGGUCCUGACCACAGUGGGAAGCCAGGGAAGUUUUCAGAGCAAAGCUGGCCGUGAUGAGGUGUCUUCAGGAAGUUAACUUUGGCCAUGAGUGGAGCGGUCUCGGCUGGGUCCCAUCUGAGGAAGUGAGAGCAUGUGGGGUUGGGGACCGGACCCUGGACCUCCUGCCCUCAUCCUCCUCCAACAAAGUCCUACCUGCUGAUGCUGGACCUCCUGCCCUCAUCCUCCUCCA